rnacentral:rRNA from 1 species
AUUGAACGCUGGCGGCAGGCCUAACACAUGCAAGUCGAGCGGAUGAAGAGAGCUUGCUCCUGGAUUCAGCGGCGGACGGGUGAGUAAUGCCUAUGAAUCUGCCUGGUAGUGGGGGAUAACGUCCGGAAACGGGCGCUAAUACCGCAUACGUCCUGCGGGAGAAAGAGGGGGAUCUUCGGACCUCACGCUAUCAGAUGAGCCUAGGCCGGAUUAGCUAGUUGGUGGGGUAAAGGCCUACCAAGGCGACGAUCCGUAACUGGUCUGAGAGGAUGAUCAGUCACACUGGAACGGAGACACGGUCCAGACGCCUACGGGAGGCAGCAGUGGGGAAUAGUGGACAAUGGGCGAAAGCCUGAUCCAGCCAUGCCGAGUGUGUGAAGAAGGUCUUCGGAUUGUAAAGCACUUUAAGUUGGGAGGAAGGGCAGUAAGUUAAUACCUUGCUGUUUUGACGUUACCAACAGAAUAAGCACCGGCUAACUUCGUG